UCGGCAGUGGAAACUGGAUAGCUAGAGGUCGGUAGGGGCAGAGGGAAUUCCCAGUGUAGCGGUGAAAUGCGUAGAUAUUGGGAAGAACACCGGUGGCGAAAGCGCUCUGCUGGGCCGAACCUGACGCUGAGGGACGAAAGCUAGGGGAGCGAAUGGGAUUAGAUACCCCAGUAGUCCUAGCCGUAAACGAUGGAAACUAGGUGUGGCCUGUAUCGACCCGGGCCGUGCCGAAGCUAACGCGUUAAGUUUCCCGCCUGGGGAGUACGCACGCAAGUGUGAAACUCAAAGGAAUUGACGGGGGCCCGCACAAGCGGUGGAGUAUGUGGUUUAAUUCGAUGCAACGCGAAGAACCUUACCAGGGCUUGACAUGCCGCGAAUCU
rnacentral:rRNA from 1 species